rnacentral:lncRNA from 1 species
UUCCGAAUUCGUGUCGGCGGUAUAUCGAUCUGAAACCAUGUUGAUCUUGUGGUGCGCGGCAGGAGAUUAAUGCUGAGUUAAGUAAAUGACUCGUGUGAAGUAAUACUCAUGUUAACCACGCGGCACACGGGGUACCGAAUUGGCAGACUCUGCCGAAUUUUUUUUUUUGAUAGAACGCAGUAACAUAUCCUGUCUAAUGAGGGAUUCCCCUUUUUUUUGGAGGCGUAAUAGUAUGUUGUCUUUUCUUUUGCGCAAAGUUAAUGGUAUGUUGUCACUUUCGCCUGGAUCGGAGUAGUAGCUUCAAGUCCACAAGAGUUGUCUUUUGACACAGAAAGGAACGCAGAAGAUUGAUCUAGAGAUUGCCAUGGUAUGCUGUAUAAUUAUUAUUUUCGGUUUGCUCUUGCGACCGUAAUUUUCUUGAGAGACUAGCUUUGUAUAUUUUUCCUUAGAUUAAUUUUUAAAAUGCAAUUAUUUGUUAAUGAACAUCUAAAUUUUGAAGCAUGUAUAUCUUCAAAUGCAGAGACACAAUUUAUGGAAAAAAAGGCCGAUUCGCAACCAGAUCGAUCCAACCAAAACGAACAUUAAAGAAAUGAAUAUUUCCGGUCAAACUAAAAACUUCAUCAUGAUCAUUCGAAUUCAACGGCUCUAGCUCCUUCCUUCGCAUCUUAGGGAGUGUUUGUUUCCUCCCAUGGGCCUUGGCUCGCAGCCAAGCUGCAAAAACGGUUAGUUUGGUUCCCUGCAUGGGCCUCGGCCUGCACCCGCGCACUGCAUUGCGGCUGCAAAAAAUGGACUCCAGCCUGCACGCCAGAAACGCCCGAUUGGGGCGUUUUUCUGAUUGUUGCCGUCCACGAGCCAUUCCUCCAUGCU